UACGAAGGGGACUAGCGUUGUUCGGAUUUACUGGGCGUAAAGGGCGCGUAGGCGGUCGUGACAAGUCACUUGUGAAAUCUCCGGGCUUAACUCGGAACGGUCAAGUGAUACUGUCGGACUAGAGUACAGAAGGGGCAACUGGAAUUCUCGGUGUAGCGGUGAAAUGCGUAGAUAUCGAGAGGAACACCUGCGGCGAAGGCGGGUUGCUGGGCUGAUACUGACGCUGAGGCGCGAAAGCGUGGGGAGCAAACAGG
rnacentral:rRNA from 1 species